rnacentral:rRNA from 1 species
AACGAACGCUGGCGGCAUGCCUAACACAUGCAAGUCGAACGAGACCUUCGGGUCUAGUGGCGCACGGGUGCGUAACGCGUGGGAACCUGCCCUUAGGUUCGGAAUAACUCCCCGAAAGGGGUGCUAAUACCGGAUAAUGUCUUCGGACCAAAGAUUUAUCGCCUUUGGAUGGGCCCGCGUUGGAUUAGCUAGUUGGUAGUGUAAAAGCCUACCAAGGCGACGAUCCAUAGCUGGUCUGAGAGGAUGAUCAGCCACACUGGGACUGCGACACGGCCCAGACUCCUACGGGGGGCAGCAGUGGGGAAUAUUGGACAAUGGGCGAAAGCCUGAUCCAACAAUGCCGCGUGAGUGAUGAAGGCCUUAGUGUUGUAAAGCUCUUUUACCCGGGAUGAUAAUGACAGUACCGGGAGAAUAAGCUCCGGCUAACUCCGUG